AAUUGCAAACACCAUAGUGGGUCCUACACGUAACCAUGGAUUUUGGGGGACUGUCUGAAAAUUCAUUAAGAAACGUGGCUUACGUCCACAUUUCAAUGUUAAGCUCUCCCACUACCUUGUUUUAGCCAAGUUUCUCAUUUUUUCUCCCUCUAAAUACUGUUAACGACACAGCACAUCUUUUGUUUCUUUUUAGUUUAAUGGGAAACAUAUCAUGUCUAGAACCAUGUAUUAGUGUUAGUGGUUAAGUUUCCUCCUCCUUUUGUGUGUUCUUUACGUGUUUCUUUGGGUGCUAGAUAAGCUAAAAAAUCUAAGCUCUUGGCUUUCUUGGGAAUCAGAGUGUGAUUGAACUGGGUUUUGGUUCUUGGAUCCGUUUCUUCUGAUUCCUUUGGGAUAGGAGUGCUGAUGGUAGCCGUUCAAAUCGCUUUUCAGAUUCCUUUGGGAUACGAAUUUGGCAAGAAGAGGCUUAUCUGAUAUGCUGCAGCUUUCCAAUUUAUAUCAAAUACUUGGAGACAGAAAAUGAAAACAAAGUUGUCAGCCAUUACUGUGCUUUGCUAGAUUGGAGGCUCAAGAUGGAUGAUACAUUUGCCAAUGCUCAAAAAGAUGGCCUGGGCAAAGAGGAUUCAUUGCAUAGCUUAAGCCAUGAUAGUGAAUUAUCUGGUGACCACGAGCUGGAUUGUUCCCAAUCAAAAUCGAGUAGGCUGACAAGAAGGGUAAAUUCACAUCAGUAUCUGCAUUUAAAAGUUAAGCAACUUCAACGCAGUAGAAGUUGCAUCAAAGAUUCUUUCCUUCGAAGCAUUCAUGUCUUAGACAAUUGGAUUCCAAAGCAUAUAAUAACAAUCGAUGAGAAAUAUCUUCGUCGUUGCCUAGAAUUCAUACAUGCCAGUACUUCUCAAGCGGCUCCAUGCAACGCCUCUAUGUACUUGGAUUGGGGAAACAUGGGGCUUUUCUCUGAUGGCCUGAAUAUAGCUAAAAUUGGGAAUCAAAAUACAUGUAGUUCGGCUGGGUUUGAUUUUGACUGUCCAUUGGCUGGGACCGGGAGUGUAGUCAUUAGCCCUGCAGAACAGUGGAUUGCUGGUUCAAUCAUGGGUAGCAAGAGCAUGGUGAAUAUACUGAAGAGUCCUUUAUUGCGCAGAUAUGGUGCAUAUGAUGGUGAUGCCAAUUUUGAGAAAGUGACUUCCAGCGAUGUUAAAGGAUCAAUAUGUUACGAUUUUAUGAAUUCUCCUGGUGCGUUAAGUAGUUAUUCACCACAUGAGCUCGAUAACGGAGCACGAACUCCAGGAAGCCAUAAAUAUGAAUCAGAGAGUUUGCACAAAAGGUUUGUUUCUAUGUCGAGUACAAACUCUACUUGUUCUGAUCAGUCCUCUUCUUCUCUCCCUGCUGCUGUUACUCAGGGGACGCUCCAGUGCACGUGGAAGGGGGGAAACCCACAUUUCAUCUUCUCCUUGGACGAUCAGAAGGUGGUCUACGUGGCCAACUUUUAUAAUGUUAAUUCAGCAGAUGAUAAGGCUCUAGAGUACGUGUAUUUAUUCCAUUCUAGAAAAGGUGGCCAAAGGGAACAUAUGAUUCAUGAUAAAGAGUCUCACCUUGUAGGUCAGAUGAACGUAUCAACUUCUUUUACUCUUUGCCCAAACAAUUGUAGAAUCACGGAGAGAGAAUUUGUUUUGUUCGGUUGUUAUGAAAAUUUAGUGGGAGAGUUGCGAAGUUCAAGCCAUGACCUCAGGAAGAACAAGGGAUUGUCAAGCAGGGUGGUGGAAGUGUUCAGGACCACCAACUCAUUCAAGAAGAGAACUAACUCCAGAUAUGAUGGAUCUGGUGCAAUACUGGAGAAUUCUUCUUGGGAGCCUUUUCAAGAGAGAGAAUACAACAUGGACGCGCUUGGUGGGACUAAUCUCUUAGAAAAUCAUCUUCCCCCAAAUCUUGAAUUGGCGGCCAUUUUGGUGAAAAAUCAUCUUCCUGAGAAGCGUCCAGAGAAGACUGGAGGUUGGGGUUUGAAUUUUCUCAAGAACACGGCUGUAACGCAAGCCAAAGAUACGAAGGAAUCCUCAGUACUUUCUGCCUGUUGUGCCCGAGAUACCGGUGAUUGCUCAACAAGCACUGAUAUUCUCAUUCCAGCUGGUCUUCAUGGAGGUCCAAGGACCAGAAAUGGUGGUCCUUCCAGUCUUAUUGAUAGAUGGAGAUCAGGCGGGUACUGUGAUUGUGGUGGCUGGGAUCUAGGGUGUCCGUUAACAGUACUCAAAAGCAGAUCAACCAACAAGGAGUUUUCAUCCUCUGCAGAUAUGCAGGGGGAGUGCAAGUUAGUUAAUUUGUUCAUACAGGGUUCAGAGAAUGGUGCUCCCCCUUUGAGGAUGGUGAAUGUCCAUGAUGGCAUGUAUUCUGUGCAUUUUCAGUCAACAUUGUCAGCUCUGCAGUCUUUCUCAAUAGCAGUGGCAUUUAUCCAUAGCCAAAAAGUCCCGCACUCCAACCAUAAUACGUACAGAAGUUAAAGUAGGAAGAUUCAUGUUUCAGCUUGAUGUAGUUGUAACCUCUUACUGUACUACAGCGCUUCGGUAGAUGGAGGGCAUGUGCUUCUUAAAUGGCUGAAGUCACGUUGCUUUACAAGAGCGCAAGUUAAGCAGUCAAAGUUAUCGUUUUUCAAGUGGAAAUAGCUGAGAUCCUUUUGUGGCUCAUGAUGCUUCAUAUUACUGCAUGGUUCCCAAUCAUGAAUCUAAACCUGUCAAUGUGCGGAUUGCAGGCCUCUUUCACUUGCACUUUGCAGGUAAUGUGAGCUCCAGCUGUUGCUAUUUUGCAGUGGUUAUUUUAGAUUAGAGUUUUUCUCUGCUUAAUCAUAUACACACAUAAAAUGCAUGUCCUAAGGGGCUAAUUGCAAUUUUUCUUAGUAUAUGAACAGCUCCCACUAUGGUGGUAGAUACUGCAGUUUCCGUUGAGCUUUGUUAUGGUUACUUUGGGUUUAUUUAUGUAGCCUUACUGUGCUCACAUACAAGAGUAGCUUUUGAAACUCUGUCCUUUGGGGACUCCUUACUUUUUUCAAAAAUUUUACAUCUAAUUCUUUACAUUUUAAGCAGCGCAUUUUGAACAAUAACAUGGUUAGCAUGCAGUAUCACCCAUCAGGCACAUGAUCACGUUCAGGAGUCAUUUUUCUUUAGAAGUUUUAGAUAUAGAUCGCAAAGAUCAAUUUUGGCAUUUCCUGGCAUGACAUGAUAUUGAAUUCCCACGAGCAUACCCUCGCAUUUUCUUUUCUAAGAUAUUCUUAUCACUGUUAAGUAUGAGCAGCUCAUUCUGAAACCCACGUUGUUUUGAGAGAACUGGGAAAGUUCAGUUUCAACUUUUCUUAUAUCUUUGUAGUGCAUGUUUAUGCUGCUGGUUCAUCUUCAACCAGGCUUUAUUUUUAUGUAGCCUUGGGUUGGUUGACUUGGUCAGUUCUGCGUUGAAGGUUCAAUAUCUCAAGAUGUUUCCAGGGCAAACUUAAGGAGUUAAUGGCUGGGCUGAUCUCAAAAGCUGGUGGGAAUUGGCACAUGGUUAAAGCCUAAAGAUUCUAUUUCACUUGUUUAAUGAUCUUCUAUUAUCAUAUCUAUGCAGUUUACUCUUUUUUCUGAUAAAAUCUAGGGAGUGAAACUCUGCAUAUUUUGUUGUUUCUCUGUGGAUGCAAGUGAGACUUGUUUCUCUGCUUCUAUAACGUGGCAGGUGAUUUUUGACAUGUUCCAUGAUCCUUCAGUGCCUCAAGUUGAAUGUAUCGGCUGUCCACUAAAGAACUGGACAAGCUCUUGCUUUUGUUGACCAUCACACGCGCACACAUUUGAGCGCCUGCGCGCUUAAAAUAUGAUACAUCCUGCUGUGUUAUACUAUAGGAAUAGUUUUUUCUAGCAACAAUUUUUCCUUGGCACAGACACCCUAUAAUGGAUGACGGUGACAUUUUGUGUCUUUUAGCGUUGAAAGCAGCUCCUCUGACGUUUUCAUCUCCCCUUGGUAGCUUCUGGAAAAGAAGGUAGCGCUUGGAACCAGGAAAGAAAGUAGUAGCUGAGUUGAUCAUGAGUGAGCUGUGUACAUUGGUUACUGGAACAAUGGAACUGUUUGAGGGGAAAUUACACUGCAAAUCUUCACAAUCAAGGCUCUUUCUUGGCAGUUGGCAUUGAAACAGGGAAAACAAACCUAUUGUGAUCGGCUUCCUCAAAAUUGAUGUCCAGUGUCUCAGGCACAGAACCAUCGUGUAUGCAGUAUUGUCAUGGCAUUGCAUGAAUCUAAGCUUGCUUCUAUAAUCAUAUCUCAUAUGGUCCUGGCUUCUUGCUAGAGUUUGUCGGAGAAGAAAGGAAACGAUCAUAUCCAAAGGCAGAGAACUGCAACAUAUUAUACUUGCCAGUGUCUUUUCUCGGUCGUGGUAGAAUGGUUCCAGAAAUUGCUGUCUAGAAUUUAGGUUCGGGUAUUCGAAAUUGCUUCCAGCGAGCAUUGCGUGGUCACUGUGUGGGGUUCAAGUCCGUGUUCCUGCACAGCUUGCUAGAUCAUCUAUUCCACUACGUGCAUCUUAUGACUAGUUAAAACACAAAUCAUUAAAAGCUAGAUCAUUCUUUCCACAGCAUGAGCUAUAGAUUGACAAUUCCGUUUUCCAUCGGUUUUUGCUGGUCCUUGAGUGAUUGCCCCUGCAUCUGACAAGACGUAUUUGUGUCUUCCAGGAUCAUGCCGCCUCAGGCUAAACAAUGUUUAACUAAAUCAUAAAGAAGGUUCCGGGUGUUGGAAUGCUGGGCAUGUCAAGGCAUUGGGGCCAAUUUUCAUGCAUUGAAAGAAAAACAGAAAGGACUUGUGAUCUACCAGGCAUUUCCAGUCAUCUUCGCGGUUCUCACGUGGAUGCAAGUUUCGUGUUAGAGGCUUUAGGCCCACCUUUUCA